AUGACAUCCGAAGGUAUAUAGAAUGGCGUGCGCGGCAGAAGUGAUUACCUUUCCCGGACGGAGUCAGACGUAGUGCCUCCAAGAGAGAACCCUGCAAGAUGCCAGGACACCGAAGAAGAACAAGACAGGAAACUGGUAAUCAGACACCUCAUGUCAUCAUUAAAGCCAAUGAGGGGAGCUCUGUAUCAUUGACAUUCAUUAUGGACAGCAAAAUCAAUGGACAUCUUUCAAGUAGAUCAACUCACAGUGCCACUGUUGAUAGAAGGAGAGCGCACACGUCCAUUCAACAGAGCAACUGCAAUGAUAGAGCCACAGAUUCCAUG